rnacentral:lncRNA from 1 species
CAUAUGCUCACAUGCGUAUCACAUUCUCAAUGCUAGUGUGUGUGUAUGUACUAGCAUCAGACAUGUCUUAUACAUGUGAAUGGAAGUUUUAUGUUCAUGUUAAAAAAUGAAGAAAAUUAUUUGUUGAAAGUGCAUCUUGGUGCACAAAGCUCUUGCCACCCCAGGGUUUGGGGAGGGUUAGAUGUACAGAGUUGUACCCCAUCCGCUAAGAGAUGGUUUCGGUGUUUCGAACCUAUGACACCUUGGUUACAAUGGAACAACAUUUUGUGGUGCCAAAGCCUAUUGUUUAAAGAAAGAUAUUGCA